UAACGAAAUAUAUAGUAUCUAGGUCUUUUACCCGAAUCCAUACCGAACUCGAGUGUCCUUAUCUAGGUAGCCAUAAAUACUGGGUUAAGCCGGGAAUCAUGGUUUU
rnacentral:rRNA from 1 species